UACGCAGGUCCCGAGCGUUGUCCGGAUUUAUUGGGCGUAAAGCGAGCGCAGGUGGUUUAUUAAGUCUGGUGUAAAAGGCAGUGGCUCAACCAUUGUAUGCAUUGGAAACUGGUAGACUUGAGUGCAGGAGAGGAGAGUGGAAUUCCAUGUGUAGCGGUGAAAUGCGUAGAUAUAUGGAGGAACACCGGUGGCGAAGGCAGCUUACCAAUCUAUAUCUGACGUUGAGGCACGAAAGCGUGGGGAGCAAACAGG
rnacentral:rRNA from 1 species